AACGAACGCUGGCGGCAUGCCUAACACAUGCAAGUCGAACGAGACCUUCGGGUCUAGUGGCGCACGGGUGCGUAACGCGUGGGAACCUGCCCUUAGGUUCGGAAUAACUCCCCGAAAGGGGUGCUAAUACCGGAUAAUGUCUUCGGACCAAAGAUUUAUCGCCUUUGGAUGGGCCCGCGUUGGAUUAGCUAGUUGGUAGGGUAAAAGCCUACCAAGGCGACGAUCCAUAGCUGGUCUGAGAGGAUGAUCAGCCACACUGGACUGAGACACGGCCCAGACUCCAACGGGAAGCAGCAGUGGGGAAUAUUGGACAAUGGGCGAAAGCCUGAUCCAGCAAUGCCGCGUGAGUGAUGAAGGCCUUAGGGUUGUAAAGCUCUUUUACCCGGGAUGAUAAUGACAGUACCGGGAGAAUAAGCUCCGGCUAACUCCGUG
rnacentral:rRNA from 1 species